rnacentral:misc_RNA from 1 species
CACAAAUAUGAAGGCGGGCUGGAACCUCUCGGGGUUACAGCCUUGCUGAAUUAUUCACCCUUGUCUUUUGCGUACUUCUUGUUUCCUUGGUGGGUCGACCACCACUAGGACAAACAUAAACCUUUUGUAAUUGCAAUCAGCGUCAGUAACAAAUUAAUAAUUA